GCCAGUGUGGUGUAGUGGUUUGAGCGUUGGACUACAACUCCGGAGGCCAGGGUUUGAUUCCCCACUCGGAUA